GGUGAAUGGUGUGCACAGUGUAGGUCUGUGUUACGUGGUGUUGCUAGGCUGCGUUUUGCAGUCCUGGCCACAGCGCUCACUCCGCACCUGCAGCCAUAGAGCAAUCGGGGAUCAUAGUACUGGUCUUUGAGGUCUUCUCAGACAUCUGAUCAUGGACCAGCCUCCAAAGUCUCCAACAAAA
ensembl:snoRNA